AUACUGAAGGUGCGAGCGUUAAUCGGAAUUACUGGGCGUAAAGCGAGUGUAGGCGGCUACCUAAGUCGGAUGUGAAAGCCCUGGGCUUAACCUGGGAAUGGCAUUGGAUACUGUUUGACUAGAGUGCAGGAGAGGAGAGUGGAAUUCCCGGUGUGGGGGUGAAAUGCGUAGAUAUCGGGAGGAACACCAGUGGCGAAGGCGGCUCUCUGGACUGACACUGACGCUGAGGUGCGAAAGCGCGGGUAGCAAACAGGAUUAGAAACCCCAGUAGUCC
rnacentral:rRNA from 1 species